AUGGAGGCGGCGGGGAAGUGGAUGCUGAGGCCGUGCACCGCCCCCAAAUCCAAAUCUAUGGAGGCCGGCGACCAUGGUCCGGCGACGCGGUUCCCCUCCAAGAGGAAGGCAGCCGCCGGAUCCAGCUACAAGGAGGGUGAUCAGCUGCCUGAGGGUUGGAUCGAUCUUCCUUCCGCGGCUGGACAAGAUGACCCAGAGGCGUACAAUCUGUUCAAGUUCGAGAGGAGGGAGGCAGCGAUUGACAAGAUGCUGGGGGAGGCGAAGCUGUCGGCCGUCGUCCUCGCCAAGAAGAGUACCAUGGCCCCUACGGCGGCAGCAGCAGCAGAAGCAGCAUCAGCAUCAGGUGGCAACAAGGGCAAGUUUAAGGUGCCGGCGGAUGAUGUCAAGCUCAUCCUGGCACUGAAGAGGAAUGACCUUCCCAGCAUCGACUACCUGGAUGAUCUGGCCGACCUGUACACUCCGGAGGAGAUUGCAGAGAGGAGGCUGCGCCACCAGAGCGAUCUGGAGCUCUUCAAGAGGAUUGACGACGAUUUUGAGGAGUACCAGAAAAAGGUCCGCGAUUCGGUCGACAAAUAUGGCUACUUUGAGGUCGACUAUGACUACGUUGAAGCGAGGAAAAAGAUCAAUGCAUGGACCAAGGCACAGUGGGCCAAGAUCAUUGAAGAUGUCAGUAUCACUGUUUGUGCCCCUGAUGCUGAUCAAGCCACGCUGGGUUACAUCGAGUAUGUCGACUCAGAUGAUGAUGCUGAGUAUGAUGAUGAUUCUGAGUACGAUGAUGAUUCCGAGCCCAUCUUUAUUAUGUCUGUAUCUAUCUAUGUUAUCGCCACCAGCGGCUCUCCCUGCCAUCCUGACAUGCUGUCACAUCACCCUGAUAGGUCCCAGGCUGAUGUGCUGCUCUUAUUCCUCCGCCGAGAUUAUCCCAGCCGGCUGCAAGUGUUUGUGGCCUUGUGGGAAGCGAAGAGGAGCGCGGGGUUCAACCUAGGGGUCUUCUUUCCUCGAGCUACAUUUGUGUCGCCACAGUUCACCUUCCCACGAAUGCUCAGCCUGCAGAUCUGCUGCUCUCCUGAGGUGGUGCCUGGCGGGACACUCUCCCUUGGAUCUGAAGGGCACAAGCUCCUUAAGCCUGCAGUGAUAUGUGAGCCAGAUAUAACCAUGACGACUAGAUCGGAGGAUGACGACUGUCUGAUCCUCGCGAGCGAUGGCUUGUGGGAUGUCAUCAAGAACCAGAUCGCCUGCAAUGCCGUGAGGAAUUGCCUAGAAUUUGAAAACAAGAAUAACCAAGGUGCUCCUAGAGAGGGUGCACUGAUAGGACAAGAGGAAGAGGUUGGCUGCAACAAUGCUGCAACCCUCCUAAAGAACAUGGCAAUCUGCAAGCAUAGCCAUGAUGACAUUAGUGUUGUUGUACUUGAUCUGAAAGCGAGAGGUUAG
rnacentral:rRNA from 1 species